AUUGAACGCUGGCGGAAUGCUUUACACAUGCAAGUCGAACGGCAGCACGGGGCAACCUGGUGGCGAGUGGCGAACGGGUGAGUAAUACAUCGGAACGUGCCCAGUCGUGGGGGAUAACGUAGCGAAAGCUACGCUAAUACCGCAUACGAUCUACGGAUGAAAGCGGGGGACUCGCAAGAGCCUCGCGCGAUUGGAGCGGCCGAUGGCAGAUUAGGUAGUUGGUGGGGUAAAGGCUCACCAAGCCUGCGAUCUGUAGCUGGUCUGAGAGGACGACCAGCCACACUGGAACUGAGACACGGUUCAGACUCCUACGGGAGGCAGCAGUGGGGAAUAUUGGACAAUGGGCGAAAGCCUGAUCCAGCCACGCCGCGUGGGUGAUGAAGGCCUCGGUUGUAAG
rnacentral:rRNA from 1 species